UAUUAAAUUAUUAAAUGUAAUUACACGAAUCACAUUAAUCUGAUGUAGUCUUAAGGGGCCUGUGUUUGUGUUUUCUUAGACAUCUGAAAGAGAAUGUUUCACAUUUUUCAGAACAGGGGAAAGUCCGACCCGAAGGUAACGUCUGCUCCUGAUUACCGUGGUGAUCGGCCCGGUCCGGGAACUGGAGAGGGGCAUCCUGGGUUCCCAUUGUUUGAGCCAUAGGCUCAGAAGAUUUCAUUUUUAAAAAGAUAUCCCAUCAUGGAGACCCCUCAAAGGAGGCAUAUCCUUGUGUUACCAAAUAAAUAAAAGAUGAACA
rnacentral:lncRNA from 1 species